GACGAGGGACCCUAGCGUUGUUCGGAAUCAUUGGGCGUAAAGCGGGUGCAGGUGGCUUUGUAAGUCAGGUGUGAAAGCCCAGGGCUUAACUCUGGAAGUGCAUUUGAUACUGCGAAGCUUGAGUGCUGGAGAGGUAAUUAGAAUUCCUGGUGUAGUGGUGAAAUACGUAGAUAUCAGGAGGAAUACCGGAGGCGAAGGCGGAUUACUGGCCAGACACUGACACUCAUACCCGAAAGCGUGGGGAUCAAACAGG
rnacentral:rRNA from 1 species